rnacentral:rRNA from 1 species
AUGAACAUUGUUCUCCUGACCCGUUGGCUUUGGCAUAUCGCCAAUGGGGAGGGAGGACUCUGGCUUACCAUCAUCCGUAAUAAGUACCUCAGGGGCCAACCUCUUGCCUUUUGCCAGCGCUCUGGUGGAUCCCAGUUCUGGUAGUCGGUGAUCCAGCUUCUGCCCGUCCUCCGCAUUGGCACGUCCAUCUCGGUUGGCUCCGGGUCAUCGACCCUGUUCUAGUUCGAUCGUUGGUUAGGAGACUCCCCCCUCGCUGCGCGAUUCCCAGAACUAUUCGCCAUUGCGGUUGGCCCUCGGGUCUCUGUCGAGACGGCCCUUAUUGACUUGGGGCAUCUCGCUUUCCGGCGCCCCUUCGCCCCCUCUGAGGUGGCUGCUUGGGACUCCCUCCUCCAGGACAUCGACCUUAUGCCGAUGGACAUCGAGGGUGCCCCGGAUUCCCUCUCCUGGCGCCUUGAGCCGUCUGGCCGCUUCUCCACGAAGUCCCUGUACGCCGCCAUUGCUCCCUCGGCGGCUCCGGAGCCUUUCAGCCUGAUUUGGGACAUCCGCCUACCUCUGAAGAUCAGGAUUUUCCUGUGGCAAUGGAUCCAUGGACGCCUCCUCUCUGGGGUUAAAGUCCUCAAGCGUAAUGGUCCGGGCGAUGGGAUGUGCCCCAUUUGUGGCACGAUAGAAGAUGCUAACCACAUCUUCUUCUCCUGCUCCACUGCCUAG